UACGGGGGGGGCAAGCGUUGUUCGGAAUUACUGGGCGUAAAGGGCGCGUAGGCGGCCUUCUAAGUCGGACGUGAAAUCCCUCGGCUUAACCGAGGAACUGCGUCCGAUACUGAAGGGCUUGAAUCCGGGAGAGGGAUGUGGAAUUCCAGGUGUAGCGGUGAAAUGCGUAGAUAUCUGGAGGAACACCGGUGGCGAAGGCGGCAUCCUGGACCGGCAUUGACGCUGAGGCGCGAAAGCUAGGAGAGCAAACAGG
rnacentral:rRNA from 1 species